rnacentral:lncRNA from 1 species
AAUUGUCUGUGGCGCCAUCCCAUUUGAGCUGCGUCUUCAUUAUCUGAUGUUUGGCCUUGGCACCAGUUUAGUAUGUUUGAUGAAAUUUGGUCCCGGUGAUAAUUUCUCCCCGUCACGCUCCCGUAAUGAGAGGUGUGGAGGCUCCAUAUGGUGGUGUUUGUGCUCGAGUACCCGUUGAGAAUGUCACUUGCUGAUACUAAAUCACCCAGCUUGAGAGGGUGUUUGUGUGUGUUGCAAGAGGGAUCCUGAGUUGCAGGCCAGCGAGGAGAAAGUUAAUAGCCAGGGCUUAGAAGUCAGCCCGCUCAAGUCCAAAUUACAGGAAAAGACAGAACAAUCUCAACAGCUGCAAGAUCAAAUUCUCAAGCAGCAGGAGGCUCUAAGUAGGGCAAGCCAAACUCUCAAAGACACCAGGAAAGCAGCUGGCAAUAAGUGGCAUCAGCAGGUGGAGAGACAGACAUGGUGGAACCACAGGCGGAGGGUGAACCAGCUGCAGGGUAAAGCUAUGAAGUCUACGAGAUGA